UCCGUAGGCGGGCAGCUAAGUCAGUGGUGAAAGUCUGCAGCUCAACUGUAGAAUUGCCAUUGAUACUGGUUGUCUUGAAUUAUUAUGAAGUGGUUAGAAUAUGUAGUGUAGCGGUGAAAUGCAUAGAUAUUACAUAGAAUACCAAUUGCGAAGGCAGAUCACUAAUAAUAUACUGACACUGAUGGACGAAAGCGUGGGGAGCGAACAGGAUUAGAUACCCUGGUAGUCC
rnacentral:rRNA from 1 species